GGAGAUAAACGCUGAAAUGGAGAUAAAACGCUGAAAUGGGUACAAAACGCUGAAAUGGGGAUAAAACGCUGAAAUGGGGAUAAGACGCUGAAGUGGGCAAAUUUAAUCGAAUUCGUUGUUUGCUAGACCAUUGCGAACACAUGUAAUUUGCCUAUAAAACUGAAUAAAUAUAAGAAAGAAGUUACCUAAAAUGACAACCACAAAUUUUCGAAGAACGUCUGCUGCACUAUUUUUAAAGUCGUUUGAAUUAAAUUUGACUACUAUACCUCAAGGUAGAGAUUGACAAAUUAUCAGAGCCGUCCCCAGGAAAUUUUUCAGGGGGGUGUAAGGUCAUUUCAACCGACUGACGAACUAGCUUGUACCGACCACAUGCUAGCCAUGGAAGCUUGUAAAAUUUCCGAUGGAGGUCAACUACGGAGCUAUUUUGGAUUAAGGGAGCUAUACCGAACG